UGGGGAUAAAGGAUUUGCAGUCCCCUGCCUUACCACUGGGCCAUGCCGCC
rnacentral:tRNA from 1 species